UUUACAUAUUGUCACAUAUAAGUGACACCUUCUGUGAAGCAAGAGCUGGAGUACAUGAUGAACAGUUCAGUGACUAACAAGCAAAUACACAACCAUAUAUAUUUACACUGAUUAGAUUCUUAACUAGAUACUUAACUAUGUGAAGGGGAUUGAGUCUUUGUUGACUUAACAAAGAAGUGGAGAAUAGUGGAUUUUGUCUACAACUGUUCAGUGCUGUCAUGAUCUGGGUUUUGGUUUCUAGUUAUUUCCUGUUUUAUUUUGGUAGUCUCCUGGUUUCUGUGUCCAAGGUUCACUUCCGGUUCAUGUCCUGUCACAGCUGUCCCUGCUUCACCUGGUCAUUAUCCACACCUGCACUCUAUCAGCAAUCAAGUCACUGUGUAUUUAACCACCACCUGUGUCCUUAGUUCUCCGCCAGAUUGUUUAGUUCCAUACCUUGUUCCAGUGUUUCAUGUCUAAUCCCUUGUUUUUCGUUCCUGAUUUCCUUGACCGUUGUAUCCUGCCUGAUCCUUGUUUGUACCGUUGCCGGAGAAAGACCUUGGACUGAACAACUGAUCAAUAAAUUUAAGAACUACAACAGUUAGUUCUUCAUGCUGGAUGGUUUUUCUUCAGACCUGAAUGGAUGAUCGUGGACGCCAUGAAGAAGCCAUGAUGGAGACAAUGCUUGAAGAUUUUGUCAUUCACAAAGAUGCAGAGGCAGAUGAUGACCCUGAAUAUGUAGUCAUCGUUUCAAGGCCUGGAUGAGUUGGGUCGUGUCCCACCUGCUGCGAUGUUGUUUGCUCUUGUAUAUGCUCUCAACCUCAGCUAACCUAAAAUUUGUUUGAAAUAUUGUCCCAAUGCUGUAUGUACAAUACUGGAUCUUAGUGACAUUUUGUAGCUGCCUUUGACAUUUGAAAGCUGUUUUAUCGUUUUUAUGAAGCUUAUAAAGUAUUCUAACCAGUCUAAAUCCAAUGUGCUUUGUGUCUUCUCCAACCUACACACCAGCUGGGGAUAUAUGUUAGUUUGCAUAA